rnacentral:rRNA from 1 species
AAACUUAAGGAAUUGACGGGGGCCCGCACAAGCGGAGGAACAUGUGGUUUAAUCGAAGCAACGCGAAGAACCUUACCAGGCCUUGACAUGCUAGGGAACCCGGGUGAAAGCCUGGGGUGCCCCGCGAGGGGAGCCCUAGCACAGGUGCUGCAUGGCCGUCGUCAGCUCGUGCCGUGAGGUGUUGGGUUAAGUCCCGCAACGAGCGCAACCCCCGCCGUUAGUUGCCAGCGGUUCGGCCGGGCACUCUAACGGGACUGCCCGCGAAAGCGGGAGGAAGGAGGGGACGACGUCUGGUCAGCAUGGCCCUUACGGCCUGGGCGACACACGUGCUACAAUGCCCACUACAAAGCGAGGCCACCCGGCAACGGGGAGCUAAUCGCAAAAAGGUGGGCCCAGUUCGGAUUGGGGUCUGCAACCCGACCCCAUGAAGCCGGAAUCGCUAGUAAUCGCGGAUCAACCAUGCCGCGGUGAAUACGUUCCCGGGCCUU